UACGUAGGGUGCAAGCGUUGUCCGGAAUUAUUGGGCGUAAAGAGCUCGUAGGCGGUUUGUCGCGUCUGCCGUGAAAGUCCGGGGCUCAACUCCGGAUCUGCGGUGGGUACGGGCAGACUAGAGUGAUGUAGGGGAGACUGGAAUUCCUGGUGUAGCGGUGAAAUGCGCAGAUAUCAGGAGGAACACCGAUGGCGAAGGCAGGUCUCUGGGCAUUAACUGACGCUGAGGAGCGAAAGCAUGGGGAGCUAACAGG
rnacentral:rRNA from 1 species